rnacentral:rRNA from 1 species
AUUGAACGCUGGCGGCAGGCCUAACACAUGCAAGUCGAGCGGAUGAAGGGAGCUUGCUCCUGGAUUCAGCGGCGGACGGGUGAGUAAUGCCCAGGAAUCUGUCUGGUAGUGGGGGAUAACGUCCGGAAACGGGCGCUAAUACCGCAUACGUCCUGAGGGAGAAAGUGGGGGAUCUUCGGACCUCACGCUAUCAGAUGAGCCUAGGUCGGAUUAGCUAGUUGGUGGGGUAAAGGCCUACCAAGGCGACGAUCCGUAACUGGUCUGAGAGGAUGAUCAGUCACACUGGAACUGAGACACGGUCCAGACUCCUACGGGAGGCAGCAGUGGGGAAUAUUGGACAAUGGGCGAAAGCCUGAUCCAGCCAUGCCGCGUGUGUGAAGAAGGUCUUCGGAUUGUAAAGCACUUUAAGUUGGGAGGAAGGGCAGUAAGUUAAUACCUUGCUGUUUUGACGUUACCAACAGAAUAAGCACCGGCUAACUUCGUG